AUGAUUGCAGAAGGCCCACUCCUCCUCCCAGGGCCGACUGCGGGAAUGGCGGCACUCCUCCUCCCAGUCGCCAUUCGGUUCUAUCGGAAAGCCUGCCGCACCUCCUCCCGCGGCAGGCUUUUCCA
rfam:Shinella sp. DD12 SHLA_27c, whole genome shotgun sequence.